UGGGGAAUCUUGGACAAUGGGCGAAAGCCUGAUCCAGCCACGCCGCGUGUGUGAAGAAGGACUUCGGUUUGUAAAGCACUUUAAGUUGGGAGGAAGGGCAGUAAGCGAAUACCUUGCUGUUUUGACGUUAUCGACAGAAUAAGCACCGGCUAACACUGUGCCAGCAGCCGCGGUAAUACAGAGGGUGCAAGCGAUAAUCGGAAUUACUGGGCGUAAAGCGCGCGUAGGUGGUUCGGUAAGAUGAAUGUGAAAGCCUCGGGCUCAACCUGGGAACUGCAUGCAAUACUGGCGAGCUAGAGUAGGUGAGAGUGUGGAUGAAUUUCCUGUGGAGCGGUGAAUUGCGUAGAUAUAGGGAGGAACACCAGUGGCGAAGGCUACCACCUGGGCUCAUACUGACACUGAGGUGCGAAAGCGUGGGGAGCAAACAGG
rnacentral:rRNA from 1 species